UCCUUGUUUUGUUUUAAAAGUUUAUUGACAUUAACCCAGUAGUCCAGCCACUAGCUGGAAACAUCUUUUUGCAGCUAGUACAAAGCAUCAGCCUCUUCCUGUCAGUCAAGCCCUGGCCUCCUCCCUUCCUUGUAUCCAAUGUAGAGCUAGUCAAUCAUUAUUUCUUGCCCUUUGUUCCCUUAAAAGUUUUAUAAGACCCCCAAGUUCUGUUACUCUUUGGGAUGAAACAUCUUUGGUGGCACAUUCUCUCAGAGACAAUGUUCCCAGAAUUCUAGAGCCCUUGGCUCCGUGUGGUGGCCAAACUUGUCUCUUAUCUGGUUAAAGAUUUGGUUUUUCUGACCAUUUUGGUGCUUCUGUGUUUUCCCAAGUUAACACUUUCUACUUUCCCUGAUGAUUGGGGGUGCCAUGGGUAAUGGAAGUCCCACCUAAUUUCUAGGGCUUUCAUCAACACUGCAAUACUCUAGCUGUAAAGUGUAUGCCAUUAUAUGAAUCUCUCAAUUAACCCAUACCAAGGAAUAAGGUGUUUCAGUAAUGUUUUUAUCACUCCUUGGGCAUUGACCUGUCUGAGGUAGAAAAUCUCUACCCAGGAGAUUAGAUGAUCACUACCACAAAGAGGUAUCUUAUUCCAGUCACCAAGGGUAACUCCAUAAAAUCCACUUGUCCUCUCUGAAACAGCCUUAUCCCCAGUUCCCUUCCUCCUCUCCAGGUCCCUCUAAGGGCUUGCUUAUUCACCUUCCUGCAAAUCAGGCACCCUUCCAGGACCUGUAAGGCCAGGGUAUAUAGGCCAGGAUGAACUUAAGUUGAUAACACUGUAUCACACAAAUUCUGCACUCCCAACUGGUUGUCCUGAUGGAGAUGCCGAAGAAUCUCUUGAGCUGUUCCUGAGGAUAGGAAUGUAUUUGUUGUCACCCCCAUUAGAAUGGGGGCUACUUUAGAGUUGGAAUUAUUUCAUUCUUUUCAUUUAUAUCUAUAAGACCUAGAACAGUGCCAGAAAUAUAACUGUUCAGCC
rnacentral:lncRNA from 1 species